AUAUUCUUCCCAAUAAAAAUCCCCCCAAAAAUAUGCAAAAGAACAUAUGUUCAAACGAAUAGCGGUUUAGUAUAACCAACAGGAAACCAUUGAUGUGUGCAGCAAUUUUGGUAACACAUCAAGGCCAGAAUGAAGUUAUUGAAGAAUAUUUUUCCAAACUUAGUGUUGUAAUAUAGGAUAACCAACAGGAGACCAUUGAUGUGUGAAAUUAUAUUGGUGACACUGCAGCGUAAAAGAGUGCAAUAUUUUUGAAGGCGUAGUAUCCAUACUGAAAAAACGCUUGCCCACCUUUUUUGCCCUUGCCCUACUUUUUUGCAGGAUUUCUAAUGGUUCAGCUGGUCAUAGGCUUCUAUUAUAAUCUGAUUUCAGCAGCUACCAGCUAGUUUGACCAGUUUCAGAUAUGUUUUCGUAUGAUUUCUGAUGGUUAACCCCAGCUGAAAUCAUCUAUACCAUCUACCUACCAUAUGCUGGUUUUCAACUGAUUUGUGUAGCAGCGAUCUCUCUCCAGUAGGGGCUACGGCUGCGCGAGCAACGGUGUUGCACUUUGAAGACAGUCCCUGGCUCUGUGCACAGUCACAGUGCACUAGUCUCAAAGCCGGGGGCACAUGUGUCCAGUUCGGAAGAGAGUUCGUUUUGAUACAAACUAGUUUGUAGCUCGUUGUCCACUUUACUACGGUUGGAAAGAGGCGUAGUUCGUGUUUAAACAACGUUUCGCUUCUGACUUCUUGAUUUGGGAACGUCUAAUCUGUGAAUAUAUCGUUCCAACACCAGAGAGUUCAAGCUCCUCGAAGACACAUCCCAGCCACGUGGUCAAUCUGCUGAGACGGCGUUUAUUGUUAAAAAAUAGGUACACCUUGAUCGUGUACACUGUUCUACAAGAUGAAUUGGAUAUCUGCAUAUUUUGGAAGAGCCUAUAAUACGGACGGGCCGAAGAAGAGGCUCCUGUCUUCAAAGUUGAGUGGUUGCUCUCAACCAGAAUGUAUAACCACGUGCCAAAAGCAUUUGAGGAAGAAACGUCCAGAGAGACUCGUCCAUGGACGCGACAAUGCUGGUUCUGGUACUGUGCCAUAAUGAGUAAGUACUGGGGCUGUUUUGGGCUCUCUUGCACCAGAUUCAUGUUGUAGCCAUCGAUGAUGGCAAACCCCUUGUAUUGUUGUGGGGGAAAGGCUGGUGUUGCUAAAGGGUUUUCAUAUUAAGACCACAUUUACACAUAGCCGGGUAUUUACAGAAACGAAUAUUUCUGCCCCUCCAUUUUCAAAAAUAACGUCGUACACACAAGAUCGUUU
ensembl:lncRNA